UGGGGAAUAUUGGACAAUGGGCGAAAGCCUGAUCCAGCCAUGCCGCGUGUGUGAAGAAGGUCUUCGGAUUGUAAAGCACUUUAAGUUGGGAGGAAGGGCAGUAAGCGAAUACCUUGCUGUUUUUACGUUACCGACAGAAUAAGCACCGGCUAACUCUGUGCCAGCAGCCGCGGUAAUACAGAGGGUGCAAGCGUUAAUCGGAAUUACUGGGCGUAAAGCGCGCGUAGGUGGUUCGUUAAGUUGAAUGUGAAAGCCCCGGGCUCAACCUGGGAACUGCAUCCAAAACUGGCGAGCUGGAGUAGGGCAGAGGGUGGUGGAAUUUCCUGUGUAGCGGUGAAAUGCGUAGAUAUAGGAAGGAACACCAGUGGCGAAGGCGACCACCUGGGCUCAUACUGACACUGAGGUGAGAAAGAGUAGGGAGCAAACAGG
rnacentral:rRNA from 1 species